rnacentral:lncRNA from 1 species
AAAUCACUCUGCCUGGGAUUGCCUGGCCUGAGUGACCUCCUGGACCUGCCCUGGCGGAAUCUGAACUUGCUCGGCCAAGAAGCCCAGGUACCUUGGUUAUGCGAAUCUGAAGGGAGGGAUUUCCGAAGUUAGCACCUUCGGGAAUGAGUUGGGGUAACCCCCGCUUUCCUGAACUCUGGCUAGAUGGAUGUCUAACAAGGAUCUGGGGGGAUGAUUCGGGGGGAGUGUCGCAGGAAAGCCUGGUGGUAAUAAGGGGUCCUCGAAACCCCGCAUCCUGGAGGUGCAGCACACACUGCCUUGAGUUUGCGGUCUCCGAGUUAGCUCCGCUAGGUUGGGAUUUCCUUGUGCCCCCCCCCCCACCCCGGCAGUUCCCCCGCCCCCACUCCCCAGGUCUGGGAAAAACGCUGGAGUUCCGAGUCCUGUUGGGGGUGGGGGGAAUAGGAGAGGACUCAAGGAUCUAGAGUUUCCGAAGCCAAGGCAGACGCUCCCUGCAGCUCCUCGGCAGCACUCACGGUCAGAGUGGCCCCGGUGUCAGGCGGACCUGAGAGGGGUGUGGGUGCCUGCGGCCAGCAGGUGUGGCGGGGGCGGAGGCGGAGGCGCUCUCCGACUGGUGCGCGCUGGAGGCUGAAGCCCAGGGCGCAAGGGGGGUGGGGGUGUGAAGGGGGACUGGGGCGGUGCCGGGGAGCCCCGGAAAAGCUAGAGUACCGGGUUCUUUCCCGAGGCCCUAGGCUCUACCCUGCCUUGGGCUUAAAAGAGAAAAGGGAGAUGGGGAGAGGGUAGGAGAAGGGGAAGCCGGAUGAGGUGAGUGGCUACUGCCUGAGAUUUUAGAGAGAGACCUCUUAGCCACGAGGCUGGGGUGAGCCCGUCUACUCAAACGGCUCCGAGGUCCCUGGAGGUUCAUACAGUUGUUGAAAAAUACAACAGAAUCAUGCUUUCCCCAGCAUCCCCCCCCAACCCCAGUUGUCUGACACGCUUCUUUGGUGCAAAUGAAAUGCAGAGGCGCGUGCGAGUCACCCGUUGCGCAAGAAGGCACCCCGAGCUUCCCUAAGGAAUUGCUUCUAGCCCAAAUUGAGGAGCUUGGCUUCCUAAGAUGUCUGUGUGCCCAGGAUAGUGGUGGUAUGUGAAUUACUGAAAUCCUAGCCCCUCAGUCCCCCCCACCCCCCGGGAGUUCCACUCCUGGAGGGAAUACCUUAUUAGACAAUUGGGGGAUGAUCUUUUCCCGUAGACCGGACACUGGGGGAUCUCAUGAACAUCUGAGAAUACACAGGGAUCUUGGCCACUAAUCCUCCAAGUGGAAGAAUUGAAGACAGGGUUUGCGGUGGAGGUAUUUGCAAGAAAAAUUACUACCAGGACAAUGCAUUCUGUCGACGAUAGCUUGUAUUUUGCUUGAAAGAAAGAUGUAAAGAGAGAAAGAGCCACCAGCAGGUAGAUCUUGGAUAAACAGCUUAUUACACUUGACUGUAAUUUCCAUUUUCCGUUAUAAAACUGUUUGUCAAUAAUUGCAAAUGGCUACAGGAACCACUUGAGUUUACCUUGGUCACUUGCUUGUGAAUAAUCUAGAUAGAAGACAAUCUCAGCUGUGUAAAAUGCAUUCUCUGGGUCUUGCAAAUGUAUGGCUUGAUAAUUUUGCAAAGAGCCCCAAUCACCAGGGAAAUGAUUUUCUAAUGCAAUUUUCCUAUCUCAGAGUCAACUACAGGUUGUACUACAUCCUCGAUAAAGAGAAUAUCUGCUCUUAAAUAAGGGAUGUGGAGACAAUUUUGGAGGGGAAGCUUUCUAGGAGACAUUUUCUCAGAAUAAGGAAGAUGCUAAGAACAGAGCGAAAUACUGUCUUAUAGGCUCCAUUCAUUCUAUUUGUUUUGUGCCGGCCAGAUCUGCCCUGUUGUGCGCCCCCUCCCCGCCCCCCACGAAAGUUAUGGACGAUUGAACAGUUCUAAGCAUUCAGACUCAAAAGGAAGAGGGAAAAGAUUAAACCCAGCUAAGCUGAACUGGAGUAGUGCAGGGGAAAGUUAGAGGUCUGGAGUGAUGGGCUCUUUUCAGACUUGGCUGGGCAGGUUGAAGCUGCUUCCGGGCUUGUUUAAUUGGUAUUUAUGCAGCAAACAGCCCAGCUGACAUUCACAUUGGCAGUAGCAAGCGCCAAUCUUUGUAUAAGAAUGUUCCAUUGUCUUUAGGGCAUGACGCACUGAAUACUACACAGGCAGGCUUGUGGCAGCAAUGGCGCUUUCCCUCCUAAGUUUCUUUCUCAAGGUCUGCUCCCAGUGGGGUACAGCAGGAGGACUCUGAUUUAGUCUGUGAGUGCUAUUGCUGUCUCAGUAGCUUAGAAGAAGAUGCCCCAAGGAUAUAUCUUUUGCUUAGAUCUAC